GCGUCGGUAGUGCAACGGUUAGCAUAUGCUCCCGGGAAGAGUGAGGUCUGGGCUCGAAUCCCGGCUGACGCA